GAACCUUCACUCCAUACCCCGAAUCGAUCCUGCUAUGUUCUCACCUCCUGAGAAAAAAAAUGGAACAACAAGGAAAAGGGUGAGCUCAACUAGCCCAGUAAAGAAUAUUAUGACUAAGAUAAUAUACAACAAAUUAUCGUUAGUCUUCAACAGGGAAAAAUCUAAUAGAAUACAAUAGACAACAAGUUUUAGAUCAACAAAUGCAGCGGAAACAGCAAUCCAUUAGAAGAGUCACGUAGAGAAAGAAUUCUACUGUCUUCUAAGAUUUAAAAGUCCAUCAUCAAUAUUUCAUCCCUGUAACAACAAUCAAUAUUCAUCUUUGCACUACAGGCCAAAGAUAUUCAUUUAUAUCACCAGUUGGUCAUGUUCAUCUCAACACAUGUUCAUCUUUGCACUACGGGCCAAAGAGAUUCAUCAGUUUAAUCAUUCAUCUUUGCACUACAGGCCAAAGAUAUUCAUCAAGUAUCACCAUUAAGGAUUGAGGAUGAUGAAAAA
rnacentral:lncRNA from 1 species